rnacentral:rRNA from 1 species
UACGAAGGGGGCUAGCGUUGCUCGGAAUCACUGGGCGUAAAGCGCACGUAGGCGGUUUCUUAAGUCAGGGGUGAAAUCCUGGAGCUCAACUCCAGAACUGCCUUUGAUACUGGGAGACUCGAGUCCGGGAGAGGUGAGUGGAACUGCGAGUGUAGAGGUGAAAUUCGUAGAUAUUCGCAAGAACACCAGUGGCGAAGGCGGCUCACUGGCCCGGUACUGACGCUGAGGUGCGAAAGCGUGGGGAGCAACAGGG